rnacentral:lncRNA from 1 species
UGUGAACAGGUUUCUAAUCCGGGAAUUGAGUUCGGCUGAAUUCGAGCGAAUUGAUAACCAUUUUGUCGAGUGAAACCAUGUUUUACCUUCUGUAAAUAUAACGAAAUGUAAAUUCUCUUUAUGUAAGACACAUACCAAUGUUUGAAAUAGCCAUAUUAGGAAUAUCAAUCUGUAUGAUAACGUUAUUGUAAAUAUACAUUAUUUUGUGUUAUAAAAGUAUAAUUUCCCGCAAUGAAAAAAAAAACAACAUGUGCG